rnacentral:rRNA from 1 species
CCUACGGGUGGCUGCAGUGGGGGAUAUUGCACAAUGGGGGAAACCCUGAUGCAGCGACGCCGCGUGGGCGAAGAAGUAUUUCGGUAUGUAAAGCCCUAUCAGCCGGGAAGAAGAAAUGACGGUACCUGAGUAAGAAGCACCGGCCAAAUACGUGACAGCAGCCGCGGUAAUACGUAGGGUGCACGCGUUAUCCGGAUUUACUGGGGGUAAAGGGAGCGCAGGCGGCACGGCAAGCCUGAUGGGAAAGCCCGGGGCCCAACCCCGGGACUGCAGUGGGAACUACCGGGCUGGAGUGCCGGAGAGGUAGGCGGAAUUCGUAGUGUAGCGGUGAAAUGCGUAGAUAUUAGGAGGAACACCAGUGGCGAAGGCAGCCUACUGGACGGUGACUGACGCUGAGGCUCGAAAGCGUGGGGAGCAAACAGGAUUAGAUACCCCAGUAGUC